AAUAAAGAAGUAAGCAACUUACAUUUAGUUUCGACCUAAAAUUAGAGGAAUCUCCAUAUUU
rnacentral:tRNA from 1 species